rnacentral:pre_miRNA from 1 species
AAUCUACUCCCUCCGUUCCAAAAAUCUUGUUUUAAGUUUGUCUAGAAAUGGAUGUAUGUAUAUACUAAAACGUGACUAGAUAUAUUUAAAAAUUUUGUCUUAAGUUUGUUUAGAAAUGGGUAUGUAAAUACUGAAACGUGACUAGAUACAUUCAUAUAUAGACAAAUUUAAGACAAAAAUUUUGGGACGGAGGGAGUACAAC